CCUCCACUUGGGGACAGCUGUGACGAUAGAACCCUACCUUGAGUCCAGUGUGAGCGGCAGCCGGGGUGAUUGAAUUCAUGGCAAGGGCGAUGGUUACGAAGAUCGCCAGUAACGCCGGUGAGGGCCACCUCCCCAUCGUACUGGAACUGGGCAAGUCGCAAGUUUGAGUACGAAGAUGCAGGGAAAGAAGAUGAGAGUCGCCUUGGCUGAUGAAGCUUUGCGCGUCCGGAUACGAGUGGCACUGCACAAGACCGCAACGACACGAGGAAGACUGGGAGUGUCCUAUAUCCGAGUUGACGUCGAGAACAGUACGGGCCGUCGAACGUGUACGGACCACAGAAACCCCUCGUGGCGUUCCAAGACUUUUCGGAGUGGGCUCAAGUCUGAAGAGGGGACAGUAUUGACCGUGGGACGGAGAGAGCCGGUCGCCAGCACAACAUCAGCGCACAUGCUUACAAAUCUAACCCACGCAAGAUGGAGGCUCUAGCGAAACGAAACAGUUGACAACAGCAGCUGGACUUGGGCAAUAUGGCGGGACCGGUCACCAUGGAUGAGUGAUCGAGCCUGGUAUUGGAGUUGGGUGACCUUGCAACAUCCGCCCCUGGAAGUGAGCAGUGAUUCGGUCUCCGUGCAGCUGGCAACUGUUGACUCACCAACCGGUACCCGUCAUCCUUGGCGGCCGAAUUGUCUGUUCAUAUUUGUGGGUAUUAUUUUUUGAAGGUUGCUUCUAUUCUUUGUAGUGUGUUUCCAAUUCCCCAAGUUCAUUCAAAUACGGUUGAGAUAGAUCCUGUGAAGCAGGGGUGGGGAAGCGUGAUGUUUCCGGGAAACUUUGUUGAUGUAAUCCGUGGUGCUUCCCGCAUGGAUCCCAUCGUGCUUUGUUGAGCAUGACGUUCACUUUGUUGCACUUUAUGAGUGCGGUGGAUUUCCCCCAGCAGUUGAGUUCAGUUAUUCUAUUCCUCGAUUCGAUUC